rnacentral:tRNA from 1 species
AAUUAUAUAGUCUAUAUAAGGAUAUUAAAUUGCAAGUUUAAAGGUAACAGUAGGGUUUAUAAUUU